rnacentral:rRNA from 1 species
GAUGAACGCUGGCGGCGUGCUUAACACAUGCAAGUCGAACGGAAAGGCCCAAGCUUGCUUGGGUACUCGAGUGGCGAACGGGUGAGUAACACGUGGGUGAUCUGCCCUGCACUUCGGGAUAAGCCUGGGAAACUGGGUCUAAUACCGGAUAGGACCACAUUUUGGAUGGUGUGGUGGAAAGUUUUUCGGUGUGGGAUGAGCUCGCGGCCUAUCAGCUUGUUGGUGGGGUAAUGGCCUACCAAGGCGUCGACGGGUAGCCGGCCUGAGAGGGUGUACGGCCACAUUGGGACUGAGAUACGGGCCAGACUCCGACGGGAGGCAGCAGUGGGGAAUAUUGCACAAUGGGCGCAAGCCUGAUGCAGCGACGCCGCGUGGGGGAUGACGGCCUUCGGGUUGUAAACUCCUUUCGCUAGGGACGAAGCGUUUUUGUGACGGUACCUGGAGAAGAAGCACCGGCUAACUACGUG